AUUGAACGCUGGCGGCAUGCUUUACACAUGCAAGUCGAACGGUAACAGGCCGCAAGGUGCUGACGAGUGGCGAACGGGUGAGUAAUGCAUCGGAACGUGCCCAGUCGUGGGGGAUAACGCAGCGAAAGCUGUGCUAAUACCGCAUACGAUCUAUGGAUGAAAGCGGGGGACCGUAAGGCCUCGCGCGAUUGGAGCGGCCGCUGUCAGAUUAGCUAGUUGGUGGGGUAAAGGCCCACCAAGGCGACGAUCUGUAGCUGGUCUGAGAGGAUCACCAGCCACACUGGGACUGAGACACGGCCCAGACUCCUACGGGAGGCAGCAGUGGGGAAUUUUGGACAAUGGGCGCAAGCCUGAUCCAGCAAUGCCGCGUGCAGGAAGAAGGCCUUCGGGUUGUAAACUGCUUUUGUACGGAACGAAACGGUCUGGGUUAAUACCCUGGGCUAAUGACGGUACCGUAAGAAUAAGCACCGGCUAACUACGUGCCAGCAGCCGCAGUAACAC
rnacentral:rRNA from 1 species